rnacentral:lncRNA from 1 species
UAUUAUGAAUAAAAUUUCUCCUCGAGCAGAAAAUUUUUUAUUUCACAAAAGAACUGUUUUUGACCACUGCCAAUUGGUCUACUUCAGCUUUAGUUAUCUGUUACAUAGAGGGUGGUAUGUUUUUCUCCCGGUUAAGGGAUUGACAAUUGCAUUUGGGAGAAGGUUAAAUGUGUCAGGCUUUCCGGCACACUGUUAUCAGUCAUCUAGAGAUGCUCUUGCACACAUUUUGAUGUGUUUUUAUUGCUUUUUAUGUAUUAUUUUUUCCCUAUAUUUUGUAAAGUAGAACAUUGCUUUGUAGGAAUGUUUUUUGGCAUUAGAUGCACAAAUGUAGUAUAUUUUAACUGUGUUUAGUUUUACUUAUUAAUGCCAUGUGUAGUAAUUUUCUAGGUUCCAUGCAUGUUUCCUAAUGUUUAGCAC